AUUGAACGCUGGCGGCAGGCCUAACACAUGCAAGUCGAGCGAGCGGCGGACGGGUGAGUAAUGUAUGGGGACUGCCCGAUAGAGGGGGAUAACUACUGGAAACGGUGGCUAAUACCGCAUACUAUCGGAUAACCCAUAUGGGAUUAGCUCGUAGGGGGGGUAACGGCUCACCUAGGCGACGAUCUCUAGCUGGUCUGAGAGGAUGAUAAGCCACACUGGGACUGAGACACGGACCAGACGCCUACGGAGGCAGCAGGGGGGAAUAUGGCAAAAUGGGCGCAAGCCUGAUGCAGCCAUGCCGCGUGUAUGAAGAAGGCCUUAGGGUUGUAAAGUACUGUCAGCGGGGAGGCGUUACCCGCAGAAGAAGCACCGGCGAACUCCGUGCCAGCAGCAGCGGUAAUAC
rnacentral:rRNA from 1 species